AACGGCCAUACCAUGCUGAAUAUGCCGGUUCUCGUUAGAUCACCGAAGUCAAGCAUCAUUGGGCGCGGUCAGUACUUGGGUGGGUGACCACCUGGGAACACCGCGUGCCGUU
rnacentral:rRNA from 1 species